UACGUAGGGGGCAAGCGUUGUCCGGAUUUAUUGGGCGUAAAGAGCGUGUAGGCGGUUAGGUAGGUCCGUUGUGAAAACUCGAGGCUCAACCUCGAGACGCCGAUGGAAACCAUCUAACUAGAGUCCGGAAGAGGAGAGUGGAAUUCCUGGUGUAGCGGUGAAAUGCGCAGAUAUCAGGAAGAACACCCGUGGCUAAGGCGGCUCUCUAGUACGGUACUGACGCUGCGACGCGAAAGCGUGGGGAGCGAACAGG
rnacentral:rRNA from 1 species